rnacentral:lncRNA from 1 species
CAACACAUCCACACAAGCUCCCAACUUGAGAGUGUCGAUGGGACACGUGUUCUUUGGUGGUGAUGGGGUUGGCACUGGUGUUGGUGGUGGUGGAGGAGGACAUGGUGUCUCAGUGGGUGGAGGAGGCUUAACUGGUACAACUGGGGUAGGUGUAGGUGUUGGUGGGCUUGGUGGUACAACAGGUGGUGAUGGUGGUGGCUUAACUGGUACAACUGGGGUAGGUGUUGGUGUUGGUGGGCUUGGUGGUACAACAGGUGGUGAUGGUGGUGGCUUAACUGGUACAACUGGGGGCUUGGGUACAUAGGGUGGUGGGGGUUGUACAACUGGGGGCUUGGGUACAUAUGGUGGUGGUGGUUGUACAACUGGGGGUUUGGGGAUGAAGGGUGGGUGCACAAUUGGGGGUUUAGGGAUAAAAGGUGGGUGCACGAUUGGGGGCUUGGGGAUGAAGGGUGGGUGCACAAUUGGGGGCUUGGGGAUGAAGGGUGGGUGCACAAUUGGGGGUUUAGGGAUGAAGGGUGGGUGCACAAUUGGGGGUUUAGGGAUGAAGGGUGGGUGCACAAUUGGGGGUUUAGGGAUGAAGGGUGGGUGCACAAUUGGGGGCUUGGGGAUGAAGGGUGGGUGCACAAUUGGGGGCUUGGGGUGGGGUGGUGGUUUGACAAUAGGAGGCUUGGGGAUGAAGGGAGGUCUCACAAUAGGUGGUUUGGGGACAGAAGGAGGUUUUGGUAUAUGGGGAGGAUAUACAAUGGGGGGUUUGGGGCCAUGAGGUGGCUUGGGUACAUGGGGUGGAUGAGGAUGAGGUGGCUUUGAUGGUGGCUUGGGAACAUAGGGAGGCUUUACAUGAGGGGGAUGGGGUGGUUUUGAUGGUGGUUUGGGAACAUAGGGAGGCUUUACAUGAGGAGGAAGAGGUGGUUUUGAUGGUGGUUUGGGAACAGAGGGAGGCUUUACAUGAGGGGGAUGAGGUGGGUGUUUAGGUGGUUUAGGGAUGAAGGGUGGCUUUACAUGAGGAGGCUGUUUGGGUGGCAAGUGUGGAGGGUAUGUUGGUGGUGGACAGUAGGAGUUAGCAAGAGAAGUGAGCAAACUACCCAAAUUCACAAUGAGGACUAAGAGCAAAGCCAGGGUAUAAUUCCCCAUGUUCAAAACUCCACAACCCUCAAAAGAGUUGGGUUGUUUAAGACCGGAUAUUGAAACCCAACACCAUGCAAAAGCCUUCUUAUAGAGAUAUGGUGAGACAAGUUGUGAGUGAGUAUGUACAUAAGAGAGAGAGAGAGAGAGAGAGAGAGAGAGAGAGAGAGAGAGAACACAAUCCUGUACCUUUCUUUGUGGUACCAACUAAAGAUAUAUAAAACUAUUAAUCUCUGUGCAUAAUUAAUUAAUUUGUCAAAUUGCCAAGAUGCACAUUGAAUUGAGGUCUCUCCAAACUCCAAACUUCAACUUGAUCAGUAUCAAAUUCACCACAAACAAAAGGGAGGAAUUGAGUCACUUUCUUCCUUUACAUUCAGAACCAAGUAGGGCACUGCAAUCACUGACUUAAACUGUAGACAAAAGUAUUCAGCUUUUAAGGAGAAAAGGAUCAAGAAAACGCGGUUUUGUGAUAGAGGCAAGUUUUAACAUGUAGUGAGAGCCUUGCAAGUGACUAUUCAACCCGUGAUUGAGGUUUUGAUGCCAAGCCACAUGUGAGGCUUUCAUUGACAACAUUUUCUUGCAUUAAAAAAUUCUAAGGGUACAAAAGAGGCCUUAGACUUUUUCUACUUAAAGCACAUGGUUUUUCCUUUUUUCAUUUUUUGGGGGUUUUCUCCCGAAUAGACGAGUCCAUUAAUGCUACAAUGUUUUAGUCUAAGAAAUAUUCCUAUAUGAAUAGACCGUACAAUUGUAUUUGAGUGUCGGUUAUCUUAAUUUAUUAUUUUUUAUAUAAACGAUAUUGUAUUUUAAUUUAAUCCAUACUAUAAAAAGAAUUAUUUAAAUUUAGAUACAAAAUAAAGAACACAUUUGUUCUAACUAACUUAAUUAAUCCUAUGUGUGCAAUUAUUUUUUACAAUUAAACAACUCGAUUUGAUGUAGGAAUUUUCCUUGUACAAUUUAACUUGCUCGCUUUGCAAUUUCAUUUCAAAAAAGUAUAUGCAUGGCCUAGCCAUCAUGUCUUUCAAAUCAACAGCUCAUCAUAGGGCAUCUUUUUAAAAUGAGGGUAAUGCUGGCUUCACAUGCAGCUGCACAAUAAUUUCAAGAAUUAUUAAUCGUACCUAGCAUUGUUAGCAAGACAUUUAGGGCUGUAAUUAUGUGAAAAGUGAUGUUCGCCGAAUCAAUUAUAUAAGGAGAACUUACUGCAAAACAACUCUGUGUGGAACCCAUCUACUUGUUCUUUGUUUUUUUUAGGUCUGAAGUCCAUCUACUUGUUCACUCCACGCCAUUGAAGUGUAGUCUAUCUAAAAUGGUAAGGGUGCCCUAGUUUAGGCGUAAGUACUAUGUGCAGGGUUUUGGGUUUUUCUUUGUAGACAAAAACCUAGAAGUAUCAUAUCUACAUUGUUCUGACUAUUAAAAAAUUAGACAAAGGGGUAAUGAUUAUGCCAAAAUGAAUUUCAACAUCACUUUCGACCGACAAAAUUUCAUUUGCUUAUAUCGAAGCUCGUAUUGAAAUUUAUUAAUUUUAACAAAGUUAGAAUAUGUCAUCUGUCACGUAAUUUGGUGAAUAAAUUUUAUCUUUCGGUGCCUCUACAAUAUUAAAGCAUCAAAUAGUGCAAAUCAUGACAUCUUAUUUCAACGUUCAUUAACAGACCUUCAUACAAUCAAGGCAUCGGAUGCAAGUAGGGUGGUAGAUUUUUUCCCCUUUUCAACCCAAUAAUAUGAGUUAAAACAAUUAUAUGUGGAACACAAUAACACCGCUUUAAUAAUUCUAUCUAAAAGGGUAUAUGCGACAGCUGGCCAAGAGGUAUAUUCCAUGUACACAAAAUGUUACUUUCAACUACAUGCCAAUAUUUCUACAGCGAAAAUUCCAAAUCAACAUGCAAAGGGAAAAUGAAAUGGGAUGUACUUGCUGUAGUGCCUGUUUGGAUAGAAAGAAAGGAAAAGAAAAGAAAAGAAAAUUCAUUUCUUGGAGAAACCAGAAAUUGAGUU